UACAGGGGGGUGCAAACGUUGCUCGGAAUCAUUGGGCGUAAAGCGCACGUAGGCGGUUCGUUAUGUCGGAUGUGAAAGCCCUUGGCUUAACCGAGGAAGUGCAUCCGAAAACUGGCGAGCUAGAGUACGAAAGAGGAUCGCGGAAUUCCCGGUGUAGAGGUGAAAUUCGUAGAUAUUCGGAAGAACACCAGUGGCGAAGGCGACUCGCUGGACAAGUAUUGACGCUGAGGUGCGAAAGCGUGGGGAGCAAACAGG
rnacentral:rRNA from 1 species